AGGGUUUGAUCAUGGGUAGGAUGAAGGCUGGCGGCGUGCCUAAUACAUGCAAGUCGAACGGGGAGUAUUAAUUUCGAUUUUUACUCCUAGUGGCGAACGGGUGAGUAACGCGUUGGUGACCUGCCCCGAAGCGGGGGACAACAGUUCGAAAGGACUGCUAAUACCCCAUGUGGUCGUACAGGUUAGAGGCUGAACGACUAAAGGAGCAAUCCACUUCGGGAGGGGCCUGCGUCCCAUCAGCUAGUUGGUAAGGUAACGGCCUACCAAGGCGAUGACGGGUAGGGGACCUGAGAGGGUGGUCCCCCACACUGGCACUGAAACACGGGCCAGACACCUACGGGUGGCAGCAGUAGGGAAUAUUGCACAAUGGGCGAAAGCCUGAUGCAGCAACGCCGCGUGCGCGAAGAAGGCCUUCGGGUUGUAAAGCGCUUUUCUGGAGGAAGAGAAAGGACGGUACUCCAGGAAUAAGGAUCGGCUAACUACGUGCCAGCAGCCGCGGUAACACGUAGGAUCCGAGCGUUAUCCGAAUUUACUGGGCGUAAAGCGCGUGUAGGCGGCCGGGUAAGUUGGACGUGAAAGCUCCUGGCUCAACUAGGAGAGGUCGUUCAAAACUGCCUGGCUAGAGGGCGACAGAGGGAGGUGGAAUUCCCGGUGUAGUGGUGAAAUGCGUAGAUAUCGGGAGGAACACCAGUGGCGAAGGCGGCCUCCUGGGUCGCUCCUGACGCUCAGACGCGAAAGCUAGGGGAGCAAACGGGAUUAGAUACCCCGGUAGUCCUAGCUGUAAACGAUGUGGACUUGGCGUUGGUGGUGUCAAAGCCAUCAGUGCCGUAGCUAACGCGAUAAGUCCACCGCCUGGGGACUACGACCGCAAGGUUAAAACUCAAAGGAAUUGGCGGGGGCCCGCACAAGCAGCGGAGCGUGUGGUUUAAUUCGAUGCUA
rnacentral:rRNA from 1 species